AACGAACGCUGGCGGCAUGCCUAACACAUGCAAGUCGAACGAGAUCCUUCGGGGUCUAGUGGCGCACGGGUGCGUAACGCGUGGGAAUCUGCCCUUAGGUUCGGAAUAACAGUUAGAAAUGACUGCUAAUACCGGAUGAUGACGUUAAGUCCAAAGAUCUAUCGCCUGAGGAUGAGCCCGCGUAGGAUUAGCUAGUUGGUGUGGUAAAGGCGCACCAAGGCGACGAUCCUUAGCUGGUCUGAGAGGAUGAUCAGCCACACUGGGACUGAGACACGGCCCAGACUCCUACGUGAGGGAGCAGUAGGGAAUAGUGUACAAUGGGCGCAAGCCUGAUCCAGCAAUGCCGCGUGAGUGAUGAAGGCAUUAGGGUUGUAAAGCUCUUUUAACCGAGAUGAUAAUGACAGUACCGGGAGAAUAAGCCCCGGCUAACUCCGUG
rnacentral:rRNA from 1 species